UCAAAUCAGGAUGAACAGGACAUCUUACAGCUGCAGUCAUGAUCUGUCCCAAUAUUUUUGUCCGUAUAGUUUAUAAGCAUCAAUGUUUCCUUAAUCUUUAGUGAAAGAUUUUUCAUCCUAACUGAGAUGUGAAGAAUGUAGGUUAGUUGUGGUAGGAAAUUAUUAUUUACAGUCAGAACAAAAACAUAUUUUAGAAAUUUAGAGGUUGAACUU